UACGAAGGGGGCGAGCGUUGUUCGGAAUUACUGGGCGUAAAGGGCGCGUAGGCGGUUUCCUCAGUCAGGCGUGAAAGCCCCGGGCUCAACCUGGGAACCGCGCUUGAUACUGGGAGACUUGAGUUCCGGAGAGGAUGGUGGAAUUCCCAGUGUAGAGGUGAAAUUCGUAGAUAUUGGGAAGAACACCGGUGGCGAAGGCGGCCAUCUGGACGGACACUGACGCUGAGGCGCGAAAGCGUGGGGAGCAAACAGG
rnacentral:rRNA from 1 species